rnacentral:tRNA from 1 species
CUUAGCUCAGUGGAUCAGAGCGUUUGCCUCCGGAGCAAAAGGUCGCAGGUUCGAAUCCUGUAGA